UCAGAGAACCCAAAUACGCUAAAGGCACCAUGCCCCAUCCGACACUGGAAGGUAAGCAGAGUCAGCCACGGUUGGUAUUUAGAUGAGAGAUCAACAAUGAAUGCUAGAUGCUAUAUAGA
rnacentral:rRNA from 11 species